GAGUCGGGUAGCUGGCUUCGGAAUCAGACAUUAAAUUGUCAAGCUAUAUAAAAGCGGAUUCUGAGGAAGGUCCGGGCAUCUCGUCGUAAGACGAAAAGUGCGAUUCACGAAAGUGAACUGUCAUGAGGCAGAGCUCUGGUAUAGAAACGACACAGCCUAUAUUGCGCUAGGAUCCGUGAGGGGAGCUUGCUUUGUAGGAUUUGCUGGAACGAGCAACUUCGCUGAUGCAAGAGUCAUAGCCGCUCGCUAAGUAGGAUGUCAGCACAUUCCGUCUGAUUACAGGGAAUGACAGAACCUGGCCUAUUCCCGACUC
rnacentral:RNase_P_RNA from 7 species